rnacentral:rRNA from 1 species
AAUGAACGCUGGCGGCAGGCUUAACACAUGCAAGUCGAGCGAGAGGCGGACGGGCGAGUAAUGUCUGGGCAACUGCCUGAUCGAGGGGGCUAACUACUGGAAACGGUAGCUACAACCGCAUAACAUCCGAUGUGCUCAGAUGGGAUUAGCUAGUAGGUGGGGUAAUGGCUCACCUAGGCGACGCUCCCUAGCUGGUCUGAGAGGGUGACCGGCCACACUGGGACUGAGACACGGUCCAGACUCCUACGGGAGGCAGCAGGGGGGAAUAUUGCACAAUGGGCGCAAGCCUGAUAGAGCCAUGCCGCGUGUGUGAAGAAGGCCUUCGGGUUGUAAAGCACUUUCAGCGAGGAGGCGUUACUCACAGAAGAAGCACCGGCUAACUCCGUGCCAGCAGCCGCGGUAAUUC